ACUCGAGUAGGGCCCAAGCAAGCCAGGAAGGAGGAGGCAGCCUGAGUGUUCUCUGCAGCAGAAGACCCCUUGCUGCCCUGCUUAACCCAGACCAGCAUUUGCCAGGAAUCUUUGUGAUUCAGAUUUGGUGUUGAAUGAUCCUGUUUCCAGGUUUGCUGGCAAGGGGAACACAGCGUCUCAGAGGGCAUAGUCCUAGUCUGAACCACAUAUCUCUUGGCAUCAAGCCCUACUAACCAGACAGCUCUUGGUAAGGCGUUCAUAACAUGCAGAUGGCCACUCUGUAAUAGCUACAGAGUUUUUCUCUGGGACAAAAUUACUUCAGCACAGUGAACUUAGCUGCAUUCAAGCAGUCGUCCUUAGCAGCAUUUCUUCUUCUGGGACAACAAAGAAAACAACUAUAUCCAGACUCUACACCCCGUGAGCUUCAUUUGUCAAUGGCUGAAAGUUGCUUCCUCUCUCACCUAGGCUAUCAGGCCCACAGAGUCCUGUCUCUUCUCCAUGUCCAGAGGGGCAUAGGAGCCUGAAUUCCGAGGCCUAAUACCACUUUCCAGCUGAAGAAAGAAUUGCUGAGGCUUUAUAAUGGUGAUUGACAAUUUCAUUUUUAAGCUGUUUAUCAGUUUACACUCUGCCCAUCAGGUACCAAAAGAACAUGACAACUCUUGUCAGUUAAACAAAAGAUUUGGAUGACAGCAUUUCAGCUGAAUUUUUUUCCCCACCUCGUACUCACUGCAUCAAUACUGAUAAAACAAUUCCAUUCAUUAUGCCCAAAAUAAAAUAAAAUAAACAACUGGUUGAAAUCCUGACAGGUUAGAUGAAUAUUGAAAAAUAGCAAAACUAACCUAAAACUGCACCUGAUCCCAGUUCUUCAGCACUUUCAAAAUAACCUGUCGAGAUUCAUUAGGAAUCAUUUUAUUGGUUGAAGACAAUAAUCAAAAAUGGUUGUUCUGUCAGUGGAAGUGAGUCACCUUCCUGCUGCAAAUUCUUCAAGGCAGGGGUGGCCAACCUUAGGCUCUCCAGCUGGACUACAGCUUCCAUCAUCCCCAGCUGCAGUUGUGGCUGAGUCUGGGAAUGAUGGGAUUUGUAGUCCAACAAUAGCUGGAAAAUCUCGAGUUGGGCACCCCUGAUCUAGGACAAUUCUUUGUUGAACUGUAAAGCUGAAGCAAUACAUACUCAAAACACGAGGGACAUAAUUGUUUUGGAUCUAAUUUAUAAUUAUGGAACUAGAAGGGACAAAAUAUACCUAGUUUCAGCCCCAAAACACAGGACUACUAACUCACCCACUUACCCAAGGCAAGCCAACCCGGAGCAAUUGGAAGCAACUAAAUUAGAAGCAACUAAAGGAACUUCCUUCUGAAACACAGGCAGCUGUUACCUUCAUUCCUGUCUUGUAGGCACCCCGGCAAAGUCCUUCCCAUUCUCAUUGGCUUUUAGUAGCAUUGGUUAGCCUUUUGGUACUUUGAUUACCCCUGAUUGAAAUACAGCAACUGAAAUAAUUUUAUCAGCUGUGGUUAUAGAAUUUUAAAAAAUGGUAUUUAUGUGCUGUCUUGUUCUUGUGGAUUAUUUUAACUAUUUUUAUGGAUUAAUUUUGAUUUAUUUGCAUGUUGCUUUUGUGAGGUGCCUUGGGACGUCUGUGAUUAGGCGGGACUGAUCGACUUGAUUAAUGGGCCGGCUGAUUUUACAUUUUUAAAAAAUGAUUUUUAGGACAAGAACUUAUAAAACUGCAGAUGAGAAGCAAGCACAAUCUAAAAAGCAGCAUUCCUUCUUGCAUGAGAGAAAAGGCAGAGAAGGCAAAAUGCCAAGAUGAUGCCUCUGUCAGUGGCACAUGAGCACGUAAUCGAAAACAAAGGGAAUGCACUUUUUCCCUUUAGAACUCUUUUUCUUAUAUGCAGCUCUAUAUAGAUGUAAUCAAUUAAUUAAGCAUAUGAUUAAUCCACAAAGACAGUCAUAGUUUGUCCGAACACAAGAUGAUUGUGUUCCUUUUUAGCACACUGUGCCAGAAGCCACAUAGCACAUGAGAUGUCAGCUAGAAAGGCUCUAGACUAGCAGUCUCCCCAUUGUCUGGUCUUCUGUGCAGAAGGAAUCCAUGUAAGAGGCUUCAGUGCCAGAGUCAUAAUAGACUUUCUAAUUUGUGUUGCAACAUUUAGCGGCUUGGGCUGUAUAAAGUGAUUAAAAACCUUUUGAUUGAAUAGAGAGAUGCCACUGAUUAAUCAGACAGCAGUUUUCUUUUCUUUUUUAAUGGUGGCCAACAUUCUUCUCAGCCCUCCAGUGACAGAAGGAGGGCUCUGGGUACUUAAGGCGACUUCGCUGAAGACUUCUGCACUGAAGGCUUCUUUCCACAGCUGACUGGGUGACGAGGGGGAUUGAUUUCUGUGUCUCUCCUCUCACUCCAAAAGCCUUUUCCACUUAUAUUUUAUCGAAAUAUAAUUAUCUAUAGAUUUAUACCAGUGGAAAGGCCUUUUGGAGAAAGAAGGGAGACAUGACCAUCAUUCCUCCUUCAUGCCCAGACCUAUGCGCAAGAAGCCUUCCAGAGAGCGGCAGAAAAUGUCAUUUACUAUUAUUUUUGAUCAAUUUCUUUUUUCUUUUUUUUUAAAGUUGGCAGCCACUACAUUCCCACUUCUUAUACACAAGGGAGUGCCUCUUCCAAUAUGGCGCCUGUUCCACAUGUGUGCAUACCAAGUGAAGAAUGCAUUUUAAUGCGGAAGUAUUGUUUUAUUCACAUGCAUAUUUAUUCAGAUGUAAGUGAUUAAUCAAGCAAAUCUUAUAUGCUUAUUUGACUAAGAUUUCUUUAGUCGUGUGACAUUCCUAAAAGAAAUCAUGUCAAUUUGGUUACAGCAACCAAAUACUGAUAAAUUUUGCCCAGUAGGUGUCAUCACCGUGCUGUUACAGUGCAGAGUGUGUCUACAUUUCAUUUUGAAUGGGCCAUAAAUAUUCAGUAUGAAAUAUACUGAGAUGUAAAAUAGCAGGUGCAGCAAAUUUGUAGUGAGGAUACAGUUAAUGGGUGAAAGAUUCAAUAUUCCAUCUAGUGAGCAAACAACUGUAUAUAAAAACUCCAUCUGUAGCUCUUUAUAUUUUGCAAGAAUUUUUAAUACAUGAUUUAUUUUAAAAUACUGAUAUCUUUGUUUUAGAACAUGGUUUUAUACAAUUAAGUGGCAACAUGUUUGAAAGCCAUUGAUACACAUGUAAAUAUUUGAUUUGAGUAAUUUUAGGGUCUGCAUAGUUUGUGACAAGAAAACUUCUUUUCUGAAUUAUUCCAUGUUCUUCUUCCCUAUCAAUAUUCCCCCCUCAGCCAACAAUUACACUGAUUUUCUGUGUUCUUUCUCCGCACCCUUUCUUUCAUCACUUUUGACUUCUUUUUCUUUUAGUAACUCUGCCUUUGAGACAAAUAUACCCCAGCAAAUAGUUUUAAAAGCAACAUACUUCCAUUACUUUAAUACCUUAGCUUGCUUAAUUUUUUGUGCAACUUUGCUUGUGGUACCUGUUUGUUCAGACUAUAACUGGUACGGGCUUGAUUCAUAUUUAGAUUUGCAGUAUGCUUUCUGAAGCACAAAUUAAUAUGGGGAUUUAUGGCCUCAUAGAAAUCCAUAGGAAGUCUCAAGAAUUACUGCAUCUUAAAAUCUUCUGUCCCUCAUAACUGACAAUUCCCAUCAUUGUAUUUGUCACUGCUGGUUGCCAUAGAAGGGCAUGGUUUUAUUAAAUGCAGGCAGAUGCAAACUAUAUGUUACUUUCUAAGAUAAUACUGAAGCUGAAACCAAUUAACUCUUGGCUCAAAUGCACAGCUAGUGUAAGACGACACCAGUCUGUUAAAAUCAGUGGCAACACUAUUCCCUGUAUCUUAAAUUAAAGAUGAUGGGAUCUGCAAUAAAUUAUACACGUAAAGCUGUGUAGACAGAUGCCAGCAGAGAGCUGUCUCAACAUAAUGUCUGGCAAGUCCUUAGGACUUUAGCAUGUCUCAAGCAGUGAGUGUCUGCAUUGGUUUAUUCACCAGUGUUUCCAAGCUAUAGCCAGCUUUUCUCUUCGUCGUGUGACAUUACUGGAAAAUCAAUUGGCUAAUGCCUCAUUUCUGUGGCAUGUCUACUAACAGUGAACUUCUAAAUCCUAAAUGCUAUUAUGGCUUGUAUCACACAAUGUUAGAAUUUCAUUCCUUUUUAAAAAGUAAGAAAAUAUAUUCGGCUGCUUGAAGCUGAUUUAAAAUCAGCGUGUUGGCAGGGCCCAUAGGAAUUAGUAGAGGUAAUGACUGGAGGCCACUGCGGGAUGGUGCAUUCCUCAUUUCUUCCACUGUAUCACAAUUACUGUCAAUUACCACUAUCACAAGUGAAGGAUAUUUGGAUCAUGUUCCUUCCUUAGCCCCUUAAAUACUUAAGGAAAUUCUUGCCUGUCUUUUCUGGGUGGUGCUAAGCCAAUGGGCAUUGCAUCCAUCCUUGGGCUUUCCUGAUCUUCCCAAGAGAAAGGAAAUUCAACUCUGAUCUUAAGGCCUCCUAUUUCCAUAGAAAGGAGGAUAUUCUUCAACUCUCCAAGCAGUAUUGCAGCCAUUCUGUAGCUGCUAGUGAUCCUACCCUUCUUCUGAGGUCAAAGGAGUAAAUGCCCCAAUGAAUGAGUGUUACUAUGUGGCUGACAAAGUCUCAUGCCAAAAUGCAAGAUUUCUAAUUGGGACAAACUGCUGAAAGGAAAGGAAGAUGGCAGGAUUAACUGAGAAUAAAUAACCGAUUUACAUGAUAAUGUUUCAAUGUUUUAUUGACUAGCAUAUUUGUAUUAAAAUUAAUACAGUAUAAAUACGUUUUUAAAACUUCUCUCUGCACUAUUAUAUCUGUGAUUGCCCAUUCAUACUUCUGAUCCAGGCAUUGAUGUUGCAGUCAACAAGAGCUGAAUGUUUCUGUGUGGACCAGCCUAUGGUUUAUAAGAUAGCAUUGUGCAACAUCUUCUGCUCCUGUAAUCCAUGUCUCAGCUCCAUGUCUCUAUCUUCUUUUAAAGUGAAGAUCUGUAAGUUCUGUGUACUACUGCUCAACAUAUUCAGUGUUAUGGGUUUAGGAAUCACGCUAAAAGAACUGCAGUGAUACCUUACGUAUCAGUUUGUAUUUCUAUCCCUAGGGAUUCCAGGCACUUCCAAUCACCUUAAAACAUAGUUUAAUUACAACAGCAGCAACAAAAAAGGAAACCCACACUUUUUUUAAAAAGCCCACAAUGUACCGUUAUACCUAGGAAGAUAUCAGAAACCCAUCCAUGGUUUCACAUAUAGGGGCAGCCAACUUGCCAAAGAAUAAGCCAAGUGUGUACAAACAAAAGAAGUGGUUCUAAUAAGAGGAUACUGAAAGCUUUCAGAUGCGAUUCACUCUAUGCAAUGUUAACCACUUCAUAGAAGUGCGGGAAUGGGCUCUGAUCCAGAAAAUCUAGGCUUCUGCUAGGUUUAAAAGGUAGCUUACAAUAUGGCACAGGGAAACAACUAUUGAGAACAGAAAGCAAAAAGCCCCACUAUUUGUGGAGAUGGCACAUAAAGCAGCUCUCUAGAUCACCUCUAAUCUAGCUCUGUUAAAAUCAAUUGAAAACAUUCCCAUUGACUUCAAUGGAUGUGGAAUUACACAGCCAAUACACCACCUGCUUUUGCCAUUUGUUGGUUGCUUAGAGUGAGGAAGUAUAAAGAAAGUUGGGGUACAGCAGGAGAGUCAGAACAGCACAUUUUGAUAUAAAGGAAGAACAUUAGGGAGCAGAAGACAUCUUGAAUUACAGAAGAAGUAAAGACUUUUUCUCUCUUUAUCAUCAUACCAACAGAGGCGUAACUAUAGGGGGGGCAGGGGGGGCACGUGCCCCAGGUGCCAUCUUUUCUGGUCACGUGGGGGGCGCCACCAUGACCAAAUUUUUAAAAAAUUUGUAAAAAAAUUUUGUUAAUACAAAUGUUUCCUGCUCAGUGCAGCAGCGCUGCAGCAGUCAAGGGAGCGCAUCGGUGCCCCCUUCCCCACGAGCGGUCCCUUCCGCGCUGCCUGCGCCCCCCCCAUUGCUUUGCUGGCGCCUGGCGGCCAGUCAGUGGCCUGGCUUGGCGGCGGCGGCGGGUGCUUGUGAGGAAAAACCUAAAUCUAAUGUAGUAUG